CGAACGCUGGCGGCAUGCCUAACACAUGCAAGUCGAACGAGACCUUCGGUCUAGUGGCGCACGGUGCGUAACGCGUGGGAACCUGCCCUUAGGUUCGGAAUAACUCAGAGAAAUUUGAGCUAAUACCGGAUGAUGUCGAAAGACCAAAGAUUUAUCGCCUUUGGAUGGGCCCGCGUAGGAUUAGCUAGUUGGUGGGGUAAAGGCCUACCAAGGCGACGAUCAGUAGCUGGUCUGAGAGGACGAUCAGCCACACUGGGACUGAGACACGGCCCAGACUCCUACGGGAGGCAGCAGUGGGGGAAUUUUGGACAAUGGGGGGCAACCCCUGAUCCAGCAAUGCCGCGUGUGCGAAG
rnacentral:rRNA from 1 species